UAUUUGGUGUUGAGGGAGAGUCAGAUCAUAUGGUAAUGCAGAUGCUACUCUCGUUACUUCUGUGUUAAAGAAGCAAUCGAAAUAUAUAGAACCUUGAAGGCUGGUGAUGGUGAUAAUGUAACGGAGCCUGUAGGUAGUUCAGGGCUCCCUGGAGGAAAGGAGCUCAAGGUAACUUAUGGUCAAAUUUCAAAGAUUCAGAAAUCAUGAUCUGUCAAGUGGAAGAAUGAAAAUUGAAAAUCUGCUUCUUCGCUGAUGCCUGACCGGGUCUGAGUACUGCUGGUAAUGGAACAGGGAAAGGGGUUGAUUAUGCACUGUCUGGAACGUAAU
rnacentral:lncRNA from 1 species